GAAGAGGGAAACAACCCAGACCGCCAGCUAAGGUCCCAAAGUCAUGGUUAAGUGGGAAACGAUGUGGGAAGGCCCAGACAGCCAGGAUGUUGGCUUAGAAGCAGCCAUCAUUUAAAGAAAGCGUAAUAGCUCACUGGUCGAGUCGGCCUGCGCGGAAGAUGUAACGGGGCUAAACCAUGCACCGAAGCUGCGGCAGCGACGCUUAUGCGUUGUUGGGUAGGGGAGCGUUCUGUAAGCCUGUGAAGGUGUGCUGUGAGGCAUGCUGGAGGUAUCAGAAGUGCGAAUGCUGACAUAAGUAACGAUAAAGCGGGUGAAAAGCCCGCUCGCCGGAAGACCAAGGGUUCCUGUCCAACGUUAAUCGGGGCAGGGUGAGUCGACCCCUAAGGCGAGGCCGAAAGGCGUAGUCGAUGGGAAACAGGUUAAUAUUCCUGUACUUGGUGUUACUGCGAAGGGGGGACGGAGAAGGCUAUGUUGGCCGGGCGACGGUUGUCCCGGUUUAAGCGUGUAGGCUGGUUUUCCAGGCAAAUCCGGAAAAUCAAGGCUGAGGCGUGAUGACGAGGCACUACGGUGCUGAAGCAACAAAUGCCCUGCUUCCAGGAAAAGCCUCUAAGCAUCAGGUAACAUCAAAUCGUACCCCAAACCGACACAGGUGGUCAGGUAGAGAAUACCAAGGCGCUUGAGAGAACUCGGGUGAAGGAACUAGGCAAAAUGGUGCCGUAACUUCGGGAGAAGGCACGCUGAUAUGUAGGUGAAGCGACUUGCUCGUGGAGCUGAAAUCAGUCGAAGAUACCAGCUGGCUGCAACUGUUUAUUAAAAACACAGCACUGUGCAAACACGAAAGUGGACGUAUACGGUGUGACGCCUGCCCGGUGCCGGAAGGUUAAUUGAUGGGGUUAGCGCAAGCGAAGCUCUUGAUCGAAGCCCCGGUAAACGGCGGCCGUAACUAUAACGGUCCUAAGGUAGCGAAAUUCCUUGUCGGGUAAGUUCCGACCUGCACGAAUGGCGUAAUGAUGGCCAGGCUGUCUCCACCCGAGACUCAGUGAAAUUGAACUCGCUGUGAAGAUGCAGUGUACCCGCGGCAAGACGGAAAGACCCCGUGAACCUUUACUAUAGCUUGACACUGAACAUUGAGCCUUGAUGUGUAGGAUAGGUGGGAGGCUUUGAAGUGUGGACGCCAGUCUGCAUGGAGCCGACCUUGAAAUACCACCCUUUAAUGUUUGAUGUUCUAACGUUGACCCGUAAUCCGGGUUGCGGACAGUGUCUGGUGGGUAGUUUGACUGGGGCGGUCUCCUCCUAAAGAGUAACGGAGGAGCACGAAGGUUGGCUAAUCCUGGUCGGACAUCAGGAGGUUAGUGCAAUGGCAUAAGCCAGCUUGACUGCGAGCGUGACGGCGCGAGCAGGUGCGAAAGCAGGUCAUAGUGAUCCGGUGGUUCUGAAUGGAAGGGCCAUCGCUCAACGGAUAAAAGGUACUCCGGGGAUAACAGGCUGAUACCGCCCAAGAGUUCAUAUCGACGGCGGUGUUUGGCACCUCGAUGUCGGCUCAUCACAUCCUGGGGCUGAAGUAGGUCCCAAGGGUAUGGCUGUUCGCCAUUUAAAGUGGUACGCGAGCUGGGUUUAGAACGUCGUGAGACAGUUCGGUCCCUAUCUGCCGUGGGCGCUGGAGAACUGAGGGGGGCUGCUCCUAGUACGAGAGGACCGGAGUGGACGCAUCACUGGUGUUCGGGUUGUCAUGCCAAUGGCACUGCCCGGUAGCUAAAUGCGGAAGAGAUAAGUGCUGAAAGCAUCUAAGCACGAAACUUGCCCCGAGAUGAGUUCUCCCUGACUCCUUGAGAGUCCUGAAGGAACGUUGAAGACGACGACGUUGAUAGGCCGGGUGUGUAAGCGCAGCGAUGCGUUGAGCUAACCGGUACUAAUGAACCGUGAGGCUUAACCUUACAACGCCGAAG
rnacentral:rRNA from 1 species